rnacentral:rRNA from 1 species
UGGCGACCAUAGCAAGAGUGAACCACCUGAUCCCUUCCCGAACUCAGAAGUGAAACCUCUUAGCGCUGAUGGUAGUGUGGGGUUACCCAU